GACGAACGCUGGCGGCGUGCUUAACACAUGCAAGUCGAACGGAAAGGCCCUGCUUUUGUGGGGUGCUCGAGUGGCGAACGGGUGAGUAACACGUGAGUAACCUGCCCUUGACUUUGGGAUAACUUCAGGAAACUGGGGCUAAUACCGGAUAGGAGCUCCUGCUGCAUGGUGGGGGUUGGAAAGUUUCGGCGGUUGGGGAUGGACUCGCGGCUUAUCAGCUUGUUGGUGGGGUAGUGGCUUACCAAGGCUUUGACGGGUAGCCGGCCUGAGAGGGUGACCGGCCACAAUGGGACUGAGAGACGGCCCAGACGCCUACGGGAGGCAGCAGGGGAGAAUAUUGCACAGUGGGCGGAAGCCUGAUGCAGCAACGCCGCGUGCGGGAUGACGGCCUUCGGGUGGUAAACCGCUGUGGCCGGUGACGAAGCGUGAGUGACGGUAAUUAGUAAAGAAGCACCGGCUAACUACGUG
rnacentral:rRNA from 1 species